rnacentral:tmRNA from 1 species
GGGGGCGAUCUGGCUUCGACGGGGAUGAUGAAGGGUUCGUGGCGUGACCGCCGGCCCAGGCACGGCGUAAAUACGCUUGGGAAACGUCAAUUGCCAACGAUAACGGCAUCGCUCUCGCGGCCUGAUUAGGGUUUAGCGGAGCCGUCGAACUAAGGAGCCAGCCUGUGCUCCUUAGGGAGGCGUCAUUUGAACAGGCUGGUCCUUAUGCAUGUCAUCCGGCAUAGGGGCGAGAUUCAAGGGUGGCUAGCGAUUCGGAGAGCCUGUCCGUGGGCGCGAUGAAGAGCGAAACCUCAAAAUACGGACUACGCACGUAGAAGCGAAUCUGGAGCAUUCUCGGACCCGAGUUCGACUCUCGGCGCCUCCACCA